GCAGGCAUUACGCGCAUGCGUCCCAGUAGUGAGUCGAAGUAGAGUGUCGCAGUACAAAUCGCCUGACCGACGGAAACCCAAAAAAAUUGGUAAAUUAGGAAAGUGGAGUGAGACAGUAGAUGCGGUGCAGUGUAGUGGGUGUUUUGUAAAGCCCUAGGGCCAGAAACCCUACAGAAAAAUGUUGUGCCUGCACCGGGAAUCCGCGAUAAUGGAGUAGUGUGGAUGUGCUAAGAGAUCGGCCUUUCGUUCGCUGCAAAAAUUAUGUAGCGGCUUGUGAGAGCAACAUCCCAAGACGACGGUGAAUGGAAGUGGCUGGCUUGGAUCGCUGGCAGAGGCCAGCAAUCAUCUGGG